GGCCAGUGUGGUGUAGUGGUUUGAAUGUUGGACUGUGACUCUGGAAAUCAGGGUUCAAUUUGCAGCUUGGCCA